rnacentral:rRNA from 1 species
CAGUAGCCGCGGUAAUACGUAGGUGGCAAGCGUUAUCCGGAAUUAUUGGGCGUAAAGCGCGCGUAGGCGGUUUUUUAAGUCUGAUGUGAAAGCCCCCGGCUCAACCGGGGAGGGUCAUUGGAGACUGGGAAACUUGAGUGCAGAAGAGGAGAGUGGAAUUCCACGUGUAGCGGUGAAAUGCGUAGAGAUGUGGAGGAACACCAGUGGCGAAGGCGGCUUUUUGGCCUGUAACUGACACUGAGGCGCGAAAGCGUGGGGAGCAAACAGGAUUAGAUACCCCCGUAGUCCCUGUCUCUUAUAC